CUGAAUUAAAAAUUAACCUGAUCUGAGUGGGAGAUCUUAGCACAUCUGGGUUUGCAAUAGCUUGGAGCUGCGCCUGAACCAGUUUAGAACAUCUGUGGAAGCCUUUAGCAAUGUUCUUCCAUCCAACUGGCUGCUCAGAAAAAUAAGGACUGGGAGCCGACAUGGAGAUAAACAUUGCUGUGCCAACCUUGGUGCUGCCAUCUACACACUGGAAACCUAAAGCCACCUGUGUCCUAGUGAUUCUCUGGGAAGAGGAACAAACCAAGGACUGCCUGUCUUCUGUGCAUCCCUGAUCAGGCCUGCAAGAAGGCAACUAUAACUGAUACAACACAUAAAGGAGAAGUACCUUGGUAAUUGGUAAAGGCUGUGCUUGCAGAACACCAGGUGGGAAGGUUCUCUGACAUUGCAGGUUUUGCUGCGACCAGGAGAUGACUACUGUGUGCUCAGCGCUCAGAGAUACAUAAGCUAUGCUUUUAGAAGAAAUGUGAAAGGAAUCAUCAAGAAUUCCCAUCGCAUCUAGAGGCCUGGAGGGAAACACUGACCACCAAAAUGAAGACAGGGUACCUGUGGAGUAGAAACUGGAAGAGAGAACUUCUUUCUUAAGAAGGGAAUCUUCCAGUACAAAUUCUGGAAUGAAUUUGAACAGUAAUAUUUAAACCAGGAUAACCUUAGUGGGGAGAAACUUAUUCUGGGUGGAGAUCUAGAUUGAACUAAAAGUUACUGAAUUGGCCAACUUCUCACGUAGGCCUGAUGCAUCGAAACUUCUAUGUAAAGAUGCGCACUGGAACAGUGAGCUGCAGCACAACUGCAGAACUCUUCUGGGGGUCAGGAUCCUGCCCAGCUCCAGAGUAUGAAGGCAGUGUGCAAGGAAAGAGCUCACAGAGACUGCUGAAGUGUGUGAAGAGGAAAAAAUAACACAAUGAGGAAAAAGUACAAAAAAGCAACCAGUGCCAUGAAUAAUCCUGAAAUAUGAAUAGAUAUAUGUAUUUGGACAAGGAGUGAUGUGAUGGCUUGGAUGAUGUGGAGCAGAGCAAGCCAGGACAGCUCAUGGGCUGUGGAAAACUGAACUGAGUGAUGUGGAAUGACACUGGAUGGUUUCAGGCUUUGAAGGUACAGACUGAGCAAAGAGCUAAAGAGAAGAUUUUGUUCUUAUUUUACGUUAAGAACUUCUGCUUAAGUGUGCCCAUCAGUGCUCUCCUGAAGCUGCCAGACUUCAGAGCAAAUCACGGAACAUUCUGAGUUGGAAGGGACCCACAAGGAGCACUGAGUCCAGCUCCUGCUGCAGCCCUUUUUGAACGAUUAAAGGAACCCUUAUUUGGCCCCCAUACCCAUUCAUUACCCUUUUCAUUCUUUCUAACCCCGAGCACCUCAAGAUGCAAAGACUUUGCUGCCUUCAGAUCUGUGCUUUCCCAGCUUCCCCAGUCAGUUUAGCAAACUGGUUAGCACAAGAUGUUACUCCUGGAUUUGUCCAUGUUUUCCUCACUGCUGAUUGCCUAGCAAAGCAGCCACCAGCACCAAGAGGGGCCGGCAAUACACUGUGCUGGGGUUGCUGACAUGGGAGGCUGAGUGCAGCAGGGCUAUCCUGGGCUGCUGCACGUCAGCCAGGGGAGAAGGAUUCUGAGAGAUUGUCUCUGAAAUUUUCCUCGUGGUGCACUGACUAAGAGGAGGAGUGUUGGCCUGCAGCAAGGUACAGCAGCAAUGGAAGGCUGCCAGAGUCAAAUAGAGGGAGUGCAGAUGCAACUGGAGCUUGUAAAGUGGCAAAUUGUAACGGCCUACAAUACAUCUAUACUGUUUUAUCUGCGCUGGUAUGGCUGUGCUGCUAAGGUUGUUACACAUCUCAGAAUCAGUUUUUGUUCUGAAAGCUGUGAAGUCUCUGAUUAAAAGUGAAUUAAUAU
rnacentral:lncRNA from 7 species